rnacentral:rRNA from 1 species
CUCUAAGCAUCAGGUAACAUCAAAUCGUACCCCAAACCGACACAGGUGGUCAGGUAGAGAAUACCAAGGCGCUUGAGAGAACUCGGGUGAAGGAACUAGGCAAAAUGGUGCCGUAACUUCGGGAGAAGGCACGCUGACACGUAGGUGAAGUGAUUUACUCAUGGAGCUGAAGUCAGUCGAAGAUACCAGCUGGCUGCAACUGUUUAUUAAAAACACAGCACUGUGCAAACACGAAAGUGGACGUAUACGGUGUGACGCCUGCCCGGUGCCGGAAGGUUAAUUGAUGGGGUCAGCGCAAGCGAAGCUCCUGAUCGAAGCCCCGGUAAACGGCGGCCGUAACUAUAACGGUCCUAAGGUAGCGAAAUUCCUUGUCGGGUAAGUUCCGACCUGCACGAAUGGCGUAAUGAUGGCCAGGCUGUCUCCACCCGAGACUCAGUGAAAUUGAACUCGCUGUGAAGAUGCAGUGUACCCGCGGCAAGACGGAAAGACCCCGUGAACCUUUACUAUAGCUUGACACUGAACAUUGAGCCUUGAUGUGUAGGAUAGGUGGGAGGCUUUGAAGCGUGGACGCCAGUCUGCAUGGAGCCGGCCUUGAAAUACCACCCUUUAAUGUUUGAUGUUCUAACGUGGACCCGUGAUCCGGGUUGCGGACAGUGUCUGGUGGGUAGUUUGACUGGGGCGGUCUCCUCCUAAAGAGUAACGGAGGAGCACGAAGGUUGGCUAAUCCUGGUCGGACAUCAGGAGGUUAGUGCAAUGGCAUAAGCCAGCUUGACUGCGAGCGUGACGGCGCGAGCAGGUGCGAAAGCAGGUCAUAGUGAUCCGGUGGUUCUGAAUGGAAGGGCCAUCGCUCAACGGAUAAAAGGUACUCCGGGGAUAACAGGCUGAUACCGCCCAAGAGUUCAUAUCGACGGCGGUGUUUGGCACCUCGAUGUCGGCUCAUCACAUCCUGGGGCUGAAGUAGGUCCCAAGGGUAUGGCUGUUCGCCAUUUAAAGUGGUACGCGAGCUGGGUUUAGAACGUCGUGAGACAGUUCGGUCCCUAUCUGCCGUGGGCGCUGGAGAACUGAGGGGGGCUGCUCCUAGUACGAGAGGACCGGAGUGGACGCAUCACUGGUGUUCGGGUUGUCAUGCCAAUGGCACUGCCCGGUAGCUAAAUGCGGAAGAGAUAAGUGCUGAAAGCAUCUAAGCACGAAACUUGCCCCGAGAUGAGUUCUCCCUGAGACUUAGAGUCUCCUGAAGGAACGUUGAAGACGACGACGUUGAUAGGCCGGGUGUGUAAGCGCAGCGAUGCGUUGAGCUAACCGGUACUAAUGAACCGUGAGGCUUAACCUUACAACGCCGAAG